GCACCUCCUGCAUUAAGAACCGCACUAUCUAUACUCGUUGUCACUUUGGAUGAAGCGCAUCCGAUAACAUCGUCUAUCAGUGCUUCUCUCCUCUUCGUACUAGACACUGCACCUACAAAACCCAAUUAGCUCAGAAGAUACUAUUUUGUAAAGAUCAACUUUGUAAACAAAAUAGUUCAGGUUUUGCAUACCUGAACCCUUGGCCUCAGCCUGGUGAUUAGAAGGUUCAUUGAGCGUGUUACUGGCUGUUCCAGAGCCGCCAUUUUCUGAUGAUUUUGCAUCGUUGCUGGGAGAUGAAAACAGGAUGUCUCGAAGUGCAGGAUCAGCAAAACAGCUGAGACCAGUAUCAUCAAACUUUUGACACCUGGCAAGUGUCCGCCGGGUGAACGCCAGCGCCGCUUGUCUUGUCACCUUGUGGACUUUAUAUGCUUUAUUUCCACGGGAUGCCUGUUUUCAGAGUAACAUCCAUAACCUCAUAUAUAUCUUAUCCCACAACCAUUGACCCAAGUAGAUUAUGAUAAAAUGUAAGCAUCAACUAGUUUAUUACCAUUCUUUUCUUGUGUGCUGUUUCCACAAGGUGGUCCAUAGCAAGAUGCUCAAUUUUCCUGCAUGUAAACAUGAAAUCUUAGCAAAUAUAACAGUUUAACUUGAAAAA